rnacentral:rRNA from 1 species
GCGGCAAAAGCUCAGAUUUGAAAUCUGGCGUCUUAUGGCGUCCGAGUUGUAAUCUGUAGAGGAGUGUUCGAGCAUAGCUUUGGCUUAAGUUCCUUGGAACAGGACGUCAUGGAGGGUGAGAAUCCCGUGUACGGCCUUUGACUUGUGCUUAUGUGAACCUCCUUCAACGAGUCGAGUUGUUUGGGAAUGCAGCUCUAAAUGGGUGGUAAAUUUCAUCUAAAGCUAAAUACUGGCAGGAGACCGAUAGCGCACAAGUAGAGUGAUCGAAAGAUGAAAAGAACUUUGGAAAGAGAGUUAAAUAGUACGUGAAAUUGUUGAAAGGGAAGCACUUGCUCCCAGACUUGCCUGCAGCUGAUCAAUCACCAUUUUUGGUGGUGCACUUGGUUGUAGGCAGGCCAGCAUCAGUCCAGACGACGAGAAAAAGGUGCAGGGAAUGUGGCUCUUUUCGGAGAGUGUUAUAGCCCUGUACGUAAUGUCGCCUGCCUGGACUGAGGCCCGCGCUUCGGCGAGGAUGCUGGCGUAAUGGUCGUAAGUGACCCGUCUUGAAACACGGACCAAGGAGUCUAACAGCUGUGCGAGUGUUUGGGUGGAAAACCCUCACGCGCAAUGAAAGUGAAUGGAGGUGGGAACCGCAAGGUGCACCAUCGACCGAUCCUGAUGUCUUCGGAUGGAUUUGAGUAGGAGCAUAGCUGUUGGGACCCGAAAGAUGGUGAACUAUGCCUGAAUAGGGUGAAGCCAGAGGAAACUCUGGUGGAGGCUCGCAGCGGUUCUGACGUGCAAAUCGAUCGUCAAAUUUGGGUAUAGGGGCGAAAGACUAAUCGAACC